rnacentral:rRNA from 1 species
UCAGCUCGUGUCGUGAGAUGUUGGGUUAAGUCCCGCAACGAGCGCAACCCUUGUCUUUAAUUGCCAUCAUUCAGUUGGGCACUUUAAGGAGACUGUCGGUGUUAAACCGGAGGAAGGUGGGGAUGACGUCAAGUCCUCAUCGGCCUUUAUGCCCAGGGCUACACACGUGCUACAAUGGGUGGUACAAAGAGCAGCAAGCUCGCGAGAGCAAGCGAAUCUCAAAAAGCCAUCCUCAGUUCGGAUUGAAGUCUGCAACUCGACUUCAUGAAGUCGGAAUCGCUAGUAAUCGCGGAUCAGAAUGCCACGGUGAAUACGUUCCCGGGCCUU